rnacentral:rRNA from 1 species
AUCGAACGCUGGCGGCAGGCCUAACACAUGCAAGUCGAGCGAGCGGCGGACGGGUGAGUAAUGUAUGGGGACUGCCUGAUCGAGGGGGAUAACUACUGGAAACGGUGGCUAAUACCGCAUACUAUCGGAUAACCCAUAUGGGAUUAGCUAUUAGGUGGGGUAAAGGCUCACCUAGGCGACGAUGUCUAGCUGGUCUGAGAGGAUGAUCGGCCGAACUGGGACUGAGACACGGCCCAGACUCCUACGGAGGCAGCAGUGGGGAAUAUUGCGCAAUGGGCGAAAGGCUGAUGGAGCCAUGCCGCGUGGAUGAAGAAGGCCUUAGGGUUGUAAAGUACUUCCAGCGGGGAGGCGGUACCCGGAGAAGAAGCACCGGCUAACUCCGUGCCAGCAGCCGCGGUAAUAC